GGUUAAGCGACUAAGCGUACACGGUGGAUGCCCUGGCAGUCAGAGGCGAUGAAGGACGUGCUAAUCUGCGAUAAGCGUCGGUAAGGUGAUAUGAACCGUUAUAACCGGCGAUUUCCGAAUGGGGAAACCCAGUGUGAUUCGUCACACUAUCAUUAACUGAAUCCAUAGGUUAAUGAGGCGAACCGGGGGAACUGAAACAUCUAAGUACCCCGAGGAAAAGAAAUCAACCGAGAUUCCCCCAGUAGCGGCGAGCGAACGGGGAGGAGCCCAGAGCCUGAAUCAGUGUGUGUGUUAGUGGAAGCGUCUGGAAAGGCGCGCGAUACAGGGUGACAGCCCCGUACACAAAAAUGCACAUGCUGUGAGCUCGAUGAGUAGGGCGGGACACGUGGUAUCCUGUCUGAAUAUGGGGGGACCAUCCUCCAAGGCUAAAUACUCCUGACUGACCGAUAGUGAACCAGUACCGUGAGGGAAAGGCGAAAAGAACCCCGGCGAGGGGAGUGAAAAAGAACCUGAAACCGUGUACGUACAAGCAGUGGGAGCCUCUUUUAUGGGGUGACUGCGUACCUUUUGUAUAAUGGGUCAGCGACUUAUAUUCUGUAGCAAGGUUAACCGAAUAGGGGAGCCGAAGGGAAACCGAGUCUUAACUGGGCGUUAAGUUGCAGGGUAUAGACCCGAAACCCGGUGAUCUAGCCAUGGGCAGGUUGAAGGUUGGGUAACACUAACUGGAGGACCGAACCGACUAAUGUUGAAAAAUUAGCGGAUGACUUGUGGCUGGGGGUGAAAGGCCAAUCAAACCGGGAGAUAGCUGGUUCUCCCCGAAAGCUAUUUAGGUAGCGCCUCGUGAAUUCAUCUCCGGGGGUAGAGCACUGUUUCGGCAAGGGGGUCAUCCCGACUUACCAACCCGAUGCAAACUGCGAAUACCGGAGAAUGUUAUCACGGGAGACACACGGCGGGUGCUAACGUCCGUCGUGAAGAGGGAAACAACCCAGACCGCCAGCUAAGGUCCCAAAGUCAUGGUUAAGUGGGAAACGAUGUGGGAAGGCCCAGACAGCCAGGAUGUUGGCUUAGAAGCAGCCAUCAUUUAAAGAAAGCGUAAUAGCUCACUGGUCGAGUCGGCCUGCGCGGAAGAUGUAACGGGGCUAAACCAUGCACCGAAGCUGCGGCAGCGACGCUUAUGCGUUGUUGGGUAGGGGAGCGUUCUGUAAGCCUGUGAAGGUGUGCUGUGAGGCAUGCUGGAGGUAUCAGAAGUGCGAAUGCUGACAUAAGUAACGAUAAAGCGGGUGAAAAGCCCGCUCGCCGGAAGACCAAGGGUUCCUGUCCAACGUUAAUCGGGGCAGGGUGAGUCGACCCCUAAGGCGAGGCCGAAAGGCGUAGUCGAUGGGAAACAGGUUAAUAUUCCUGUACUUGGUGUUACUGCGAAGGGGGGACGGAGAAGGCUAUGUUGGCCGGGCGACGGUUGUCCCGGUUUAAGCGUGUAGGCUGGUUUUCCAGGCAAAUCCGGAAAAUCAAGGCUGAGGCGUGAUGACGAGGCACUACGGUGCUGAAGCAACAAAUGCCCUGCUUCCAGGAAAAGCCUCUAAGCAUCAGGUAACAUCAAAUCGUACCCCAAACCGACACAGGUGGUCAGGUAGAGAAUACCAAGGCGCUUGAGAGAACUCGGGUGAAGGAACUAGGCAAAAUGGUGCCGUAACUUCGGGAGAAGGCACGCUGAUAUGUAGGUGAAGUCCCUCGCGGAUGGAGCUGAAAUCAGUCGAAGAUACCAGCUGGCUGCAACUGUUUAUUAAAAACACAGCACUGUGCAAACACGAAAGUGGACGUAUACGGUGUGACGCCUGCCCGGUGCCGGAAGGUUAAUUGAUGGGGUCAGCGCAAGCGAAGCUCUUGAUCGAAGCCCCGGUAAACGGCGGCCGUAACUAUAACGGUCCUAAGGUAGCGAAAUUCCUUGUCGGGUAAGUUCCGACCUGCACGAAUGGCGUAAUGAUGGCCAGGCUGUCUCCACCCGAGACUCAGUGAAAUUGAACUCGCUGUGAAGAUGCAGUGUACCCGCGGCAAGACGGAAAGACCCCGUGAACCUUUACUAUAGCUUGACACUGAACAUUGAGCCUUGAUGUGUAGGAUAGGUGGGAGGCUUAGAAGUGUGGACGCCAGUCUGCAUGGAGCCGACCUUGAAAUACCACCCUUUAAUGUUUGAUGUUCUAACGUUGACCCGU
rnacentral:rRNA from 1 species